rnacentral:rRNA from 1 species
CCUACGGGUGGCAGCAGUGGGGAAUAUUGGACAAUGGGGGGAACCCUGAUCCAGCCAUGCCGCGUGUGUGAAGAAGGCCCUCGGGUUGUAAAGCACUUUCAGUGAGGAAGAACGCCUGGUGGUUAAUACCCAUCAGGAAAGACAUCACUCACAGAAGAAGCACCGGCUAACUCCGUGCCAGCAGCCGCGAUAAUACGGAGGGUGCGAGCGUUAAUCGGAAUUACUGGGCGUAAAGCGCGCGUAGGUGGCUUGAUAAGCCGGUUGUGAAAGCCCCGGGCUCAACCUGGGAACGGCAUCCGGAACUGUCAAGCUAGAGUGCAGGAGAGGAAGGUAGAAUUCCCGGUGUAGCGGUGAAAUGCGUAGAGAUCGGGAGGAAUACCAGUGGCGAAGGCGGCCUUCUGGACUGACACUGACACUGAGGUGCGAAAGCGUGGGUAGCAAACAGGAUUAGAUACCCUGGUAGUC